rnacentral:rRNA from 1 species
GAUGAACGCUGGCGGCGUGCCUAAUACAUGCAAGUCGAGCGAACGGACGAGAAGCUUGCUUCUCUGAUGUUAGCGGCGGACGGGUGAGUAACACGUGGAUAACCUACCUAUAAGACUGGGAUAACUUCGGGAAACCGGAGCUAAUACCGGAUAAUAUUUUGAACCGCAUGGUUCAAAAGUGAAAGACGGUCUUGCUGUCACUUAUAGAUGGAUCCGCGCUGCAUUAGCUAGUUGGUAAGGUAACGGCUUACCAAGGCAACGAUGCAUAGCCGACCUGAGAGGGUGAUCGGCCACACUGGAACUGAGACACGGUCCAGACUCCUACGGGAGGCAGCAGUAGGGAAUCUUCCGCAAUGGGCGAAAGCCUGACGGAGCAACGCCGCGUGAGUGAUGAAGGUCUUCGGAUCGUAAAACUCUGUUAUUAGGGAAGAACAUAUGUAUAAGUAACUGUGCACAUCUUGACGGUACCUAAUCAGAAAGCCACGGCUAACUACGUGCCAGCAGCCGCGGUAAUACGUAGGUGGCAAGCGUUAUCCGGAAUUAUUGGGCGUAAAGCGCGCGUAGGCGGUUUUUUAAGUCUGAUGUGAAAGCCCACGGCUCAACCGUGGAGGGUCAUUGGAAACUGGAAAACUUGAGUGCAGAAGAGGAAAGUGGAAUUCCAUGUGUAGCGGUGAAAUGCGCAGAGAUAUGGAGGAACACCAGUGGCGAAGGCGACUUUCUGGUCUGUAACUGACGCUGAUGUGCGAAAGCGUGGGGAUCAAACAGGAUUAGAUACCCUGGUAGUCCACGCCGUAAACGAUGAGUGCUAAGUGUUAGGGGGUUUCCGCCCCUUAGUGCUGCAGCUAACGCAUUAAGCACUCCGCCUGGGGAGUACGACCGCAAGGUUGAAACUCAAAGGAAUUGACGGGGACCCGCACAAGCGGUGGAGCAUGUGGUUUAAUUCGAAGCAACGCGAAGAACCUUACCAAAUCUUGACAUCCUUUGACAACUCUAGAGAUAGAGCCUUCCCCUUCGGGGGACAAAGUGACAGGUGGUGCAUGGUUGUCGUCAGCUCGUGUCGUGAGAUGUUGGGUUAAGUCCCGCAACGAGCGCAACCCUUAAGCUUAGUUGCCAUCAUUAAGUUGGGCACUCUAAGUUGACUGCCGGUGACAAACCGGAGGAAGGUGGGGAUGACGUCAAAUCAUCAUGCCCCUUAUGAUUUGGGCUACACACGUGCUACAAUGGACAAUACAAAGGGCAGCGAAACCGCGAGGUCAAGCAAAUCCCAUAAAGUUGUUCUCAGUUCGGAUUGUAGUCUGCAACUCGACUACAUGAAGCUGGAAUCGCUAGUAAUCGUAGAUCAGCAUGCUACGGUGAAUACGUUCCCGGGUCU